AUGGCACUAGGGAACUCCAGUGUAUCUGUUAAUGGGAAAAGGAGGCUCUGGAAUAUUAUUUGGAAGGCUAAUGUUCCUCAGAAGGUUAAAAUCUUUGCUUGCAAGGCUGCAUCUAAUAGCCUAGCCGUACAAGUUAACAGAGUAAAACACCAUCAAGCUACCCUAGGUACAUGCUCAAUCUGUGGUGUUGAAGAUGAAUGUGUUUUUCAUGCUUUGGUAUGCUGUCCCAAGGUACGUGCAUUCCGUAUGGGUUUGAGAGAGGUGUGGAAUUUGCCGGAUGAAGACAUUUUAAACUGUUCGGGGCCGGACUGGUUACUUAUUUUAUUGGAUCAGUUAAGUUCGCCUAUGCGUGAGCAAACAAUUUUCAUGUUCUGAAGAGCUUGGCAUCUGAGAAAUGACUUGAUUUUUGGUAAAGGAAAAGAAUCUAUCUCGGCCUCAGUGAGUUUUAUUCAAAACUAUUGGGCAUCAUUCUCAUCUUGUCAUGCAAAAACGAAGGUAGAGGUAAGUAACAAAGGUAAGGGUGUGAUUGAUGGUUUACAACCCAUUAGUAAUAUGGAGAGGAUUUGUGUUCCAUGGCUGCCUCCCACUCCGGAAUUCCUCAAGAUUAAUGUUGAUGCAAGUUUUGUGGAGGUCAUUAGCGCAGCGAGUGUUGGGGUGGUUGUUAGAAAUCAUUCUGGAGAAGUUCUUAUUUCUUCUUGGGAUAAUAUAGGUAGUUUUAUAAAUAGAUCUCAUGGUAUUCUUAUUAAUAGUGUUCCGCCCUGCAUGGCAAGAGCUGUAACGAAUGAUUGUACGCACAUUUGUGUCAAUUAA
rnacentral:rRNA from 1 species